rnacentral:rRNA from 1 species
UACGUAGGGACCAAGCGUUGUUCGGAUUUAUUGGGCGUAAAGAGCGUGUAGGCGGCCAUGUAGGUCCGGUGUGAAAACUCGAGGCUUAACCUCGAGAUGUCAUCGGAAACCAUUUGGCUAGAGUCCGGAAGAGGAGAGUGGAAUUCCUGGUGUAGCGGUGAAAUGCGCAGAUAUCAGGAAGAACACCAAUGGCGAAAGCAGCUCUCUGGGACGGUACUGACGCUGAGACGCGAAAGCGUGGGGAGCGAACAGG